CAUUUGACCACAAAGCAUUAUUUGGCUCCCCAAACCGUUACCGGUCACUAAGUCCUAGUGGGAGAUGGGCAUCUUCCCAACAGAGGUUGUACUCCAGCCCCAAUGCCACCUGGGAGGAGAUUAAUGAGAGAGUGAGGAAUCUCUUAACCUCAGAGGAGGCCAAGCAGAGACUUUCCCUUGGAGCCACCGAUUCUGAGAUUGAUGAUGUCCUUGAAAGAAGGUCUAUUUCUUUGAGGUCUUCCCCACUGUGUGACUCACUAGGACAAAGAUACUGUUCAUAGCUGUCAUUGGCAAGAUAAUACAAUGCCUUUGCAGAGAUAAUGCAGUACCCUUAGGAUACAGAAGAUCUACUGGUGCCAAAUCUCCAUUC